AUUGAACGCUGGCGGCAGGCCUAACACAUGCAAGUCGAACGAGUGGCGGACGGGUGAGUAAUGUCUGGGAAACUGCCCGAUGGAGGGGGAUAACUACUGGAAACGGUAGCUAAUACCGCAUACCAUCGGAUGUGCCCAGAUGGGAUUAGCUAGUAGGUGGGGUAAUGGCUCACCAAGGCGACGAUCCCUAGCUGGUCUGAGAGGAUGAUCAGCCAACAUGGGACGGAGACACGGCCCAGACUCCUACGGGAGGCAGCAGUGGGGAAUAUUGCGCAAUGGGGGCAACCCUGACGCAGCCAUGCCGAGUGAAUGAAGAAGGCCUUCGGGUUGUAAAGUUCUUUCGGGAGCGAGGCGUUAACUACAGAAGAAGCACCGGCUAACUCCGUGCCAGCAGCCGCGGUAAUAC
rnacentral:rRNA from 1 species